rnacentral:rRNA from 1 species
GUAGGGGGCAAGCGUUAUCCGGAUUUACUGGGUGUAAAGGGAGCGUAGACGGCGAUGCAAGUCUGAAGUGAAAUACCCGGGCUCAACCUGGGAACUGCUUUGGAAACUGUAUGGCUAGAGUGCUGGAGAGGUAAGCGGAAUUCCUAGUGUAGCGGUGAAAUGCGUAGAUAUUAGGAGGAACACCAGUGGCGAAGGCGGCUUACUGGACUGUAACUGACAUUGAGGCUCGAAAGCGUGGGGAGCAAACAGGAUUAGAUACCCUAGUAGUCCACGCCGUAAACGAUGAGAACUAGGUGUUGGGGGAAUAACUCAGUGCCGCAGUUAGCGCAAUAAGUUCUCCGCCUGGGGAGU